UACGCGGGGGGCAAGCGUUGUUCGGAAUUACUGGGCGUAAAGGGCGCGUAGGCGGUGCGUUAAGUUAGGCGUGAAAGCCCUGGGCUCAACCCGGGAACUGCGCUUGAUACUGGCGCGCUUGAAUCCAGGAGAGGUUGGUGGAAUUCCCAGUGUAGAGGUGAAAUACGUAGAGAUUGGGAAGAACACCAGUGGCGAAGGCGGCUAUCUGGACGGUUUCUGACGCUAAGACGCGAAAGCGUGGGGAGCAAACAGG
rnacentral:rRNA from 1 species